AGUUAUAUAGCGUAGUGGUCAGUGCGUAUGCUCUUUGUAUACCUAACCUCUAGACCUGUCUAGAGGUUGAGCUGUGACUGGCGCGGGGUCGUGGGUUCGAUUCCUAUUGUGGCUA